rnacentral:rRNA from 1 species
UACGUAGGGGCCUAGCGUUGUCCGGAAUUAUUGGGCGUAAAGAGCUCGUAGGCGGUUCGGCAAGUCGGAUGUGAAAUCUCCACGCUUAACGUGGAGGGGGCCAUUCGAAACUGCUGUGACUCGAGUCCGGUAGGGGAGUGUGGAAUUCCCGGUGUAGCGGUGAAAUGCGCAGAUAUCGGGAGGAACACCAGUAGCGAAGGCGGCACUCUG